GACUCCCCACUGAGCAGGGAUCCUGAUGCAGGGCUUGAUCCCAGGACCCCAGGAUCAUGACCUGAGCUGAAGACAGAGGCUUAGUGGACUGAGCCACCCCAGCACCCCCCAUGGCACAUUUUUAACAACCCUAUUUGACCUUGAACACAACUGGCUAUCAGGCUGACCCCAUCUGAUCUCACUAACUAAUCACUAACACUGGUGAUAUCAUAGACUAAAGGUGGGAGAGCACCAUUAAUGAAGGAUUCUUGCCUAAAAAUAUCUACAUUUAAUCAAGCUUCUUGAGUUCAGUACCAGUUUAUAGGCAAUAACUCUAUGGGGUACUAUGCACCAAAUUGUGUCCCCACUCCCAAUAUAUAUGUUGAAUCCCUAACCCUGCCCUUAAGGAGAUAAUUAAGGUCCACUGAAGUCAUAAGGAUGGGCCCCUAAUCCUACUGGACUGGUGUCCUCAUGAGAAGAGGAAGAGACACCAAAGGAUCUCUUUCUCCACUUGCAGGCACAGAGAAAAGGCUGUGUGAGCACACGGCGAGAAGGCACUUGUAAGCAGAGGAGAGGCCUCCCCAGAAACCAACCCUCCUGACACCUAGAUCUUGGACUUCCAGCCUGCAGGACUGAUCAGAGGAACAAGUUAAUUCCAUGAAGAAGCAAGCAGCAAAAUUCUAGAAGACAAAAGACCUGGUUUCUCCAUUUGACUGAAGAAAGCUGAUAGAAGAAGGGAAGAAGGUGGAGUCAAGAGCAGACUUACAGGUGAAGAGAGUGAGUAUUUUUUUUAAGAAUUGUUUUUUAAAGAUUUUGUUUAUUCACGAGAGAUACACAGAGAGAGAGGCAGAGACAUAGUCAGAUGUCAGAGAAGCAGGCUCCACUCAGGGAGCCGGAUGUGGGACUCGAUCCCGGGACUCCAGGAUCACCCCCUGGGCCAAACAAAGGCAGAGGCUCAACCACUGAGCCACCAAGGCAUCUAGAGACUUUACCAAACGCAAUGUUAAUCCUGAUUCAAACCAACUUGAAAAGGCAAGUUUAGAAGACACACAAUGGCCAACAGACACAUGAAAAGAUGCUCAACAUCACUCAUCAUCAGGGAAAUGCAAAUCAAAACCUCCUAGGAGCUAUCACAUCAUACCAGUCGGAGUCACUAAAAUCAACAACACAAGAAACAAGUGUUGGGGAGAAUGUGGAGGAAAAAAGUACCCUCAGGGGCACCUGACUGGCUCAGUCAGUAGAGCAUGUGACGCUUGAUCUCAGGGUUGUGAGUUAGAACCCCACACUGGGUGUAGAUAUUGCUUACAAAUAAAAUUUUAAAAAAGGAAAGGAACCCUCUUGCUGUGUUGGUGGGAAUGUACACUAGUGUGGGCAGUUAUGGAAAACAGUAUGGAGGAUCCUCAAAAAAUUAAAAGUGGAAUUACCAUAUGAUCCAGUAAUUUCACUCCUGGGUAUUUCCCCCAAAGAACAUGAAAACACUAAUUUGAAAAGAUAUAGGCAACCCUAUGUUUACUGUAGCAUUAUUUACAAUAGCCAAGAUACGGAAGCAACCCAAGCGUCCACCAACUGAUGAAUGGAUAAGGAAGAUGUGGUAUGCACAACCAAUGGACUAUGACUCAGCCAUAAAAAAUGAGAUCUUGCCAUUUGUGACAACAUGGAUGGACCUAGAGGGUGUUAAGCUAAGCGAGAUAAGUCAGACAGAAAAGGACAAACACCAUAUGAUCUUCCUGAUAUGUGGACUCUUUAAAAAAACAAAGCAAAUGAGGAAACAAACAAAAAGCAGAAUCAGACCCAUAAAUAGAACAAACUGAUGGUGGUCAGAGGGGAAGAUGGGAGGAUACACAAAAUGGGUGAAGGGGAGUGGGCGAUACAGGCUUCUGGUUAGGGAAUGACUAAGUCGUGGGGAUAAAAGGCACAGCACAGGGAACAUAGUGAGGGGUACUGUAACAGUGAUGUGCGCUGACAGGCGGUAGCUACACUUGGGGGGAGCACAGCGCUACGUAUAAACUUCUCCAAUCACGAUGUCGUACCCCCGAUACUAAUGUAACAUUGUGUGUUGACUCUAUUCAAAUAAAAAAUAUAUUUUCGGGA